rnacentral:tRNA from 1 species
GCCUUCGUGGUGUAACGGUAACACACUCCGCUCGUAUUCGAGAGGUUAAGGUUCGAGUCCCGGUGGAGGCA